GACGAACGCUGGCGGCGUGCUUAACACAUGCAAGUCGAGCGGAGUUGAUUGAAAGCUUGCUUUUGAUUAACUUAGCGGCGGACGGGUGAGUAACGCGUGAGGAAUCUGCCAUGAUCAGGGGGAUAACAGAUAGAAAUAUCUGCUAAUACCGCAUAAGACCACAGUACCGCAUGGUACAGGGGUAAAAGAGUUAUGUAUCGGAUCAUGAUGACCUUGCGUCCUAUUAGCUAGUUGGUGAGGUAACGGCCCACCAAGGCGACGAUAGGUAGCCGACCUGAGAGGGUGAUCGGCCACAUUGGAACUGAGAUACGGACCAAACUCCUACGGGAGGCAGCAGUGGGGAAUAUUGGGCAAUGGGCGCAAGCCUGACCCAGCAACGCCGCGUGAAGGAUGAAGGCCUUCGGUUGUAAACUUUGUUAUAAAGGACGAAGAUAGUGACGGUACUUUAUUAAGGAAGACCCCGGCGUAACUAACUGUG
rnacentral:rRNA from 1 species